GGUAGAGUUCCUUUUUAACAUAGGAUCCUAUUCCCACCUAGCUCCUUUUGCAUUACCAAAGACGCUACAAGGUACUGUGAAUGUGUUUAAAUUAGGUCCAGUGCCUUAUUAACCUCGAAAUCUCUUUCCACCUAACUUCCUUUGUAAUUGGAACUGUUAAUAGACUUUAUUUCAGCUACAGUCCCUUCUGUUAGUCUUGAUUCCCAUCCCUUCCUGCUGGAUUUGCAUUACCACAAAGGGUACAAGGGUCUAUUAAUGUGCUUAAGUGAUGCAACAGUCCCUUAUGUUACAUAGGAUGCCAUUCCAACCUAACAAGCUUUUCGUGACUGCAGAGGAUACUUGGGACUGUUAAUGGGCUUAAUUGAAGCUACUGUCCCUUCUGUUGCUCUAGAUUCCCAUUCCCUCCUACCCGGUUUGCAUUACCACAAUGUACAAUGGACUGUUAAUUUGCUUAAACGAAGGUAUGGUCCCUUUUUAAACCUAGGAUCCCAUCCCCACCUAACUCCCUUUGUAUUAUUGUGGAGAUUGCUUGGGACUUGUUAAUUGGCUUAAUUGAACUACUCUCCUUUCUGUUAGUCUAUGAUCCCAUCCCUCCCUACUUGAUUUGCAUUUCCACAGAGACCACAUGCGACCGUUAAUGUGCUUAUUAAAUGCAAGUACAGUCCCUUAUGUUCACCUAGGAUCCCAUUCCUGACUGUCUCACUUUGCAUGACUGCAGAGGUAUUUGAGACUUUUAAAGUUGUUAAUGGCACCUAUAGUCCCUUCUGAUAAGUCUACUUUCCCAAGUACUCCAACUCCCUUUACCUGGGAGUAUAUUUGGGACUGUUAUCGUGUUCAUUUUUAACUGUGGUCCUUCUGUAAUUCUAGGAUCUCAUCCCUUUCUACGCUUUUGUAUUAUUGGUAUUUGGGACAGAAAGGUGUUUAAAUGCAGCUGUGGUCCCCUUUGUUAAUCUAGGAUCCCAUGCCCUCUAACUCCCUUUACAUAACCUGGGAGUGUAUUUGGGAUUGUGAAGUUCUUACGUGCAGCUAUGGCCCCUUCUGUUAGUUUCAUUUCCCAUGCCCUCCAACUCCCUUUGCAUUACAGCAGAGGGUAUUUGGGACUGUUAAAAGUAUCUAAUUGCAGCUGUGGUCCAUUCUCUUUGUCUGGGCUUCAUGCCCUCCAGCUUUGUUUGCAUUACUACAGAGGGUACUUGGAACUGUGCAUUUGCUUAAAUGCAAAUGUGGUUCCUUUUGUUAGUUUAGGAUCCCAUGACUCUCUCGACAUUACCUGGGAGGUCAUUUGGUAUUGUCAAAGUGGUAAUUGCACCUGUGUUCCCUUCUGUUGGUCUACGAUUCCAUUCCCUCCUACUCCCUUGCUAUUACAUGGGAGGGUUUUGGAGAGUCUUAAGGUGCUUUACCUGCAGCUAUGGUCCCUUCUGUUAGUCUAGUUUCCAAUCCCUUUUACUCCCUUUGCAUUACCACAGAGGGUACUUGGGACUGUUGUGGUGCAUCCCAUCCUCUUGUACCCUGUUAACAUUACAGCAGAGGGUCCCGAAUGCCAAGGCCCCUUCUUUUGCACUGUUAAUGCACAACUACAUUUGUCCCUAUUCCUCUGCAGUAUAUAAAGACCCCACUCACUUUCCUCGUAUUCAGCUAUGGAUACCCUUUAUUCAAGACUUAUACUAGGGUGAACUAUAGUAAUUGACCACAAAUGACUCUUUUGCUUAAGUCCCUGUACUCUCUUUGUUUUACAAGAAAAUAUAUUAAUUACCUCAGUUACUUUUUCUGGGAGUAUUUACACGCAAAAUUCCAGUGUUCAUUGUCCCUCUCUUUAAAUUAACAUCCCUCCCUUCUUAUCUUACAUCAGGGGAUUUUAGUGAUGCUGUGUCCUUCUCUUGGGACUCUUAAUGUGCAUGUGCCCUUGUGAUAAGCUAAUAUCUUGAGUUCUUAGUAUUAUAGCAGGGAUUACUGACUACAUAAAGUCUUUUGGACAGCUAAUGUGCAGAAUUAUGGCAAGGAUCCCAUCUCACCUCCCUUGCAUAGGGGUGUUGACCAACUAUGGCUGCUUCUCUUGUACAGUUUAAAUGUGCACAAUUACAGUAAUCUAUGCUCCAUUAUGUUAGACUAGGAUCCCAUUUCCUUACACCAUUUGCAUUACUGCAGGGGCUUGUGACCAGUCAAGAUUCACUUUCUUGGACAUACUUAUUUAUUCCCAUACUUAUACACCAGGUAAGGACCCUCCCCAUUCUAUUCAUAAAACAGGUUACUGACCACCUUAAAGCUGUGGGGCUGUGAAUAUGUGUAAUUGCAAUUGUCCAUUGCCCCUUGAGCUAACUUGUGUCCCUGGCUCUUUUCACACUCUGCUUUACUGCAUGGAGUACUGUCCACUUAAGGCUUCAGUCACAAACAGUUAAUAUAUGUAAUGAAAAUUAUAUUAGGAUCCUUCUCCUACAUACUCCCUUUGAAGUACCACAAGGAUUCUGACCCCUAAGGUCCCAUUUCUUAUCCCAUUAAUAUAUGUGAUUGUAUUUGUCUGGGUUCCGGUGCACUAUACAAGUCCACCUCCACUCCUCAUUCCCUUUCUGUUGCAGCAGGAAGGGCCCACUCCACAAGACUUACAUUUGGACAGUCAAGGUGCACAACUGUAAUUGACCACAGCCAGGCACCUUGCACAUUAAUGUGUAUGAUUGCACAUGGCUCAUCCUGUAUGAAUAAGAUCCUACCCUCUCAGACCCCUUCUGUAGUACAGCAGGGGUACUGAUCACUAAGGCCUCUUUUCAUGGCUUGCUGUUGUGCAUAACUGCAUUUGUACAUGUUCCUGUACACUAGAUGAGGACCAUCCUCUCCCCAUUCUCUUUGCUUUUUAGCAAGGAGUGCCUACUACUUCAAGAUCCUUACAUUUGUACAGGGUACAUGAUUUUAAUUGACCACAUCAUGUCCCUUGGACAUUAAUAUACAUAAUUGCAGCUUAGUUCAUCUAACCCUAUUGCCCUCCAUUUGCAGUAUACCAGGGUUGCUGGCCCCUAAAUCCCCUUUUCUUGUCCUGAUAAUGUGCAUAAUUUCAUUUGUCCAGGUUCUUGUACACUAGACAAGGACCCCUGCCCAGACAUACUUCCUGUGCCUUCCAGUACAUAGUGUCCCCUGCUAAGAUCUUUACAUUUGGGCAGUUAUAUGCAGAAUUGCAGUUUUCCACAACCCUAUUACUUGCAGGACUUUUGUACCUCCCUUGCACUACUGCAGAGGAUACUGUUUCCCCCCAAAGUCCCUUCUAGUGGACUUUUAAUAUACAUAAUUGAAAUUGUUCUCCAUCAGUAGACUAUGGUCAUACCUCUCAGCUAAUUAUUAUAACCUCAGCUUUUGGACAAUUAAUAUGCAUCAAUAACAUAUCAAAAGUACUGACCAUUAGAUAGGACUCCUGUACCCUCCUCGCAUACUUCAAGGGUACUAAGGCCCUUUUUUUAACUAUUAAUAUGAAUGUUUGCAAUUAUCUAUUCCCCCUUCUAUUAGAGUAACACACCAUCCCCUUGCACCCUCUUUGCAUUAUUGCAGGGGUUGCUGACCACAGAAAGCUUCUACUGGGACUGUUAAUGGGCACAAUGGCAAUUAGCAAUGGGUUUUUCCUCCCUGGCUUUGUUAGACAAGCACUCCCAGCCCCAAUUUCCCAUGGCAGAAUAAAGUAUAAACACUGCAGUAUGCAAUGAACUUGUCCACCAAACAGUGACCCAUAGUCCCACUCGUUUUGCAUUGGCUCCAAUGUAUCAAAUGGUCUUACCCAUAUCUUCCCUCUCCACACCCGUUGCUUGCCCUUGGACCCUUCUUAGGGACUAUUAAUGCUCACAAUUUCAGGUGUCCAUGUAUCCAGAUAAGAUUGCGCUCCCUUGCCCCUCCCACCCCAGCCGCCAACCCCUGCCCUGCCCCUUUUGCGUUGUUGCUGGGAAAUAUUGACUGGGCAAGCCUCUUUUGUCUUGGACUUAAAAUGAUAACAAUCCCAGAUGUCAUUGUUUUGCCCACUUUGAAUUACUGUGAUGCCUCAGUUGCACUUUCCUUGGUCCCACCCAUCAGACACGGACACUUCCACUUCCUUCUUUGCAUUUCUUCUGAGAAGUGCUGACCACCCAAAGCCCCUUCUGUGUUAUUAAUUAACACAAUAUUGAUUGUCCCAUUUUUCAGCCCAUCAGCCCAAGAUCUCCCUACCACUUUGAUAUUGUAUUUGUGCAGCAUUGACUAUCAAAAGUAGGCCUGAACUAGGUAGCUGGGCCUUCACUCCUUUUCCUGCAUUUGUUGAUGAUCCCAGUUCCAAUUAUUGUCACAUUCUGGGGACAAGAACCAUUCUUGCCCCCCUCUCUGUUACUGCUUCACUAGGCAAAAUGUUCAAGGCAAGUCAGACCUAAGGGAACUGGACUCCUACCCUUUAUUUUGGAUUUUCAUUACAUAAAGUAUCAAUUGAAAAUUGUCUCCCUAGGAAGGAAGGUUAGUGCUGUCUCUGCAUUCUUCCUUCCAGAGCAGAUUGCCUGGCUAAGAAUUGCUCCUCUCUUGUAUAUUGCUGUUAUACAGUGCCAAUUGCCAGAAUACAACUAAAAAGUUGCUGUUAAUUUAUUUUUUAAGAAAGACAUUGGGAUUGCAAGGUGGAAUUAAUAAACUGGUCAUUGAAUUUUUGAAGUCUAAAACCCCAUUUAUACCGUGUACCUGAUGAUCAGUGUCUCUCAUUUUACUAAGGGUGGUGGGUCUGUGGAUAGACCACUGUGAGUUUGAUAUUUUAUUAUUACCAAAGGAGUUCUAGAAUGGAAUUCUUAAGAUCUGUAUCUUUGGGCUCUACAACCAUUUUCAAACCAUUCCUUGUUUGGGCUUUACCACUAUUCACUUUCAGAAAAACUACCUAAACUUCCUAAUCUUAAGUUUCUUCCAACUGGAGCACCAACCAGCCCCUCCUUUAUUGCAAGAAGAUUGCUAUAAAAGGAUAAAAUGACAGAACAUAAGCUGAGGUGCUUUUGAAAACCAUAGAUCACCUUAAUUGAGUAAUCUAUUACAUAAAACUCACCCUGUUUAAUUCUGCUAAUUUAAAGUAGCCUAAAGCACCACACCAAAGUGAAGAGUUAGAAAUGAUGGGAUCGGUUUCGCCGUUUUAUAUUAAAAGAAAAAUAACCCAUGAUCUAAUCAUUCUUUUGGAUAUAAAUUUCAACAGUGGGAUAGUUGUCUGGUAAAAAUGAAUAAUAUCCCAGCCUCUAGUGUACAGGGUGUUUGGUGGCAGAGAAGUAUUUAAUGUGGAACUGCUGAAGCAAAUAACUAGUUAUCACUACAGCAGUCCUUUGUAACCACUGAAAAAGGAUACUCUUCUCUGAGAAGGAUGUCAAAAGAUCGUCCCAGCUCAGGGUGCAGUACUAGCUCCUUGGACCGCUGUAAGAAGAGUCUCUGGCUCUUUAGAAUACUGGAUGAAUUUUGAGCUGGUUCUGUACCCCCACUCAAGAGGAAAGAUGGAUCAGUUUUAGGUGGAUUGAAGCCUGCACUGGACAGCAUACAAAGGACAUUCCAAGCAUGUGAGACCUGAGGACUGCAAGCAGCUCUAAGAAGCUCCACUUUUCAGCAGGUCUUUCCUUUUGAGAAUCUGGAUAAGCUCCAAACAAUCUUAAGAGGAUGGCUUGCACACUACCUGGAGAAAAA